UGCACAAAAACUAGAUAGUAAUAUUGGGUAUUCUGGUAAUGACUUUAUGUUAUAAUGUUAUAAUAAUAAUGAUGGUAUGUUACAAAUUUGCGACAACGGGCAUACAGGUCAAUUUGGUAAGUUGCGUAUUUGAGUCAGAGGUUGUAGCAUAUAUGCGCCGAUGGACGUUAAGGGGUUAAAACUGACUGUCUGCUGAGAGC